GGAGGGGGGGCAAGCGUUGUUCGGAAUUACUGGGCGUAAAGGGCGCGUAGGCGGCCGCGCAAGUCGGACGUGAAAUCCCUCGGGCUCAACCGAGGAACUGCGUCCGAAACUGCACGGCUUGAGUCCCCGGAGAGGGUAGCGGAAUUCCCAGUGUAGCGGUGAAAUGCGUAGAUAUUGGGAGGAACACCCGUGGCGAAGGCGGCUACCUGGACGGGUACUGACGCUGAGGCGCGAAAGCUAGGGGAGCAAACAGGAUUAGAUACCCUGGUAGUCCUAGCUGUAAACGAUGGGCACUUGGUGUUGCGGGUAUCGACCCCUGCAGUGCCGGAGCUAACGCAUUAAGUGCCCCGCCUGGGGAGUACGGUCGCAAAGGCUG
rnacentral:rRNA from 1 species